GCGUACGGGCGCGGAACACGUGUGCAACCUGGCCUUAUCUGGGGGGAUAGCCUUCGAAAGGAGAUUAAUACCCCAUAAUAUGUUGAAUGGCAUCAUUCGACAUUGAAAACUCCGGUGGAUAGAGAUGGGCACGCGCAAGAUUAGAUAGUUGGUGAGGUAACGGCUCACCAAGUCUACGAUCUUUAGGGGGGCCUGAGAAGGGUGAUCCCCCAACUGGUAACUGAGAACACGGACCAGACUCCUACGGGAGGCAGCAGUGAGGAAUAAUUGGGACAAUGGGUGAGAGCCUGAUCCAGCCAUCCCGCGUGAAAGGACGACUUGCCCUAUGGGUUGUAAACUUCUUUGGUAAUAGGGAUAAACCUACCCUCGUGAGGGUAGCUGAAGGUACUAUACGAAUAAGGCACCGGCUAACUCCGUGCCAGCAAGCCGCGGUAAUACGGAGGGUGCAAGCGUUAUCCGGAUUUAUGGGGUUUAAAGGGUCCGUAGGCGGAUCUGUAAGUCAGUGGUGAAAUCUCACAGUUUAACUUGUGAAAACUGCCAUUGAUACUGCAGGUCUUGAGUGUAGUGAAGUACUGGAAUAAGUAUGUAGCGGUGAAAUGC
rnacentral:rRNA from 1 species